rnacentral:rRNA from 1 species
UACGUAGGGGGCAAGCGUUGUCCGGAAUUAUUGGGCGUAAAGAGCGCGUAGGCGGUCCGGUAAGUCGGCUGUGAAAGUCAAGGGCUCAACCCUUGAAAGCCGGCCGAUACUGUCGGACUAGAGUCCGGAAGAGGCGAGUGGAAUUCCCGGUGUAGCGGUGAAAUGCGCAGAUAUCGGGAGGAACACCAAUGGCGAAGGCAGCUCGCUGGGACGGUACUGACGCUGAGGCGCGAAAAGCGUGGGGAGCAAACAGG